rnacentral:rRNA from 1 species
ACUAACGAAUAAGGGGUGGGCAAGUUCUGGUGUCAGCCGCCGCGGUAAAACCAGCACCUCAAGUGGUCAGGAUGAUUAUUGGGCCUAAAGCAUCCGUAGCCGGCUCUGUAAGUUUUCGGUUAAAUCUGUACGCUCAACGUACAGGCUGCCGGGAAUACUGCAGAGCUAGGGAGUGGGAGAGGUAGACGGUACUCGGGAGGAAGUGGUAAAAUGCUUUGAUCUCUCGAUGACCACCUGUGGCGAAGGCGGUCUACCAGAACACGUCCGACGGUGAGGGAUGAAAGCUGGGGGAGCAAACCGGAUUAGAUACCCGGGUAGUCCCAGCUGUAAACUAUGCAAACUCAGUGAUGCAUUGGCUUGUGGCCAAUGCAGUAUUGCAGGGAAGCCGUUAAGUUUGCCGCCUGGGAAGUACGUACGCAAGUAUGAAACUUAAAGGAAUUGGCGGGGGAGCACCACAAGGGGUGAAG